rnacentral:rRNA from 1 species
UACGGGGGGAGCAAGCGUUGUUCGGAUUUACUGGGCGUAAAGGGCGCGUAGGCGGCGUAACAAGUCACUUGUGAAAUCUCCGGGCUUAACCCGGAGCGGCCAAGUGAUACUGUUGUGCUAGAGUGCGGAAGGGGCUACUGGAAUUCUCGGUGUAGCGGUGAAAUGCGUAGAUAUCAUGAGGAAUACCAGAGGCGAAGGCGGCUACCUGGACAAUUGCUGACGCUCAGGCACGAAAGCGUGGGGAGCAAAAGGG